GUAAGGAAUUUUCGGCAAUGGGGGCAACCCUGACCGAGCAACGCCGCGUGAGUGAUGAAGGUCUUCGGAUCGUAAAACUCUGUUGUAAAGGAAGAAUGUCAUAUAUAGGAAAUGAUAUAUGAGUGACGGUACUUUACUAGAAAGUCACGGCUUACUACGUGCCAGCAGCCGCGGUAAUACGUAGGUGGCAAGCGUUAUCCGGAUUUAUUGGGCGUAAAGGGUGCGCAGGCGGUCUGUUAAGUUUGGUGUGAAAGCGUGGGGCUCAACCCCAUACAGCAUCGAAUACUGGCAGACUAGAGUGCAGAAGAGGGUAAUGGAACUCCAUGUGUAGCGGUAAAAUGCGUAGAUAUAUGGAAGAACACCAGCGGCGAAGGCGGUUACCUGGUCUGUAACUGACGCUCAGGCACGAAAGCGUGGGGAGCAAAUAGGAUUAGAAACCCUAGUAGUCC
rnacentral:rRNA from 1 species